rnacentral:rRNA from 1 species
AGGACGAACGCUGGCGGCGUGCUUAACACAUGCAAGUCAAGGGGGCCCAGCAAUGGGCAACCGGCGAACGGGUGCGUAACACGUGAGCAACCUACCGAACUGUGGGGGAUAGCCGGCCUAACGGCCGAGUAAUACCGCAUACGCUCUCAGGGAGGCAUUUCUUUGAGAGGAAACCUACGGGACAGAUCGAGGGCUCGCGCCUAUCAGCUAGUGGCGAGGUACGCUCACCAAGGCAACGACGGGUA